GCCGGCAUAGCUCAGUCGCUUAGAGCGUGGGUCUAAUAAACCCAACGUCGCAGGUUUGAAACCUGCAGGCAGCA